GAUAAGCAGUUAGGGAAAAAAUAACAUGGCAAUAGAAGAGAUAACAAUUUCAGUUAAGGCAUAGAUGACUCAAAUAAGCAUCAAGGGAGGAUCAUGAAGCAAAUAAUUCUAAUUAAAGCAGGUAGAGGUGAAACUAGUAAUUAAGAUACGUAUUCAUAACAUCACAACUGCAUAAUCAGUAAAUACAAGGACCUAAGAACCCUAAAAGGCCAACUUUCCACAAAUAAGUCCGAGCACGUACUCGCACCUCGCGUACACGGAUUACAAUUAGCAUAGAAGAUUCAAAUCCUAAGGGGUAGUUCCCCCACACGAAGUUAGGCAAGAUACUUACCUCAAAGAAGACAGGCUGAUACUCUAAAAUGAACUUUUCGGGUGAAAUAACCUCCGGGCGGCUCAAAUCUAAUCAAAAUAACUUCAAAGCACAAAUAAAACUCAUAAGAGACUAUUCCGGAUCAUAAAGCCUCAAUCUUUAUCAAUAUUAAAAAAUCAGUCCAAAAGUCGACCCCCCGGCCCACACCUCGAAAAAGCGACAAAUUUCACAAAAUCUGAACACACAUUCCGAUACGAGUUCAACCAUAUUAAAAUUAUCAAUUUUCGAUGCCAAUUCGUCCCUCAAAUCAAGAUUUUUCAUUUUGAAAUUUUUUUUCAAAAACCACCAUUUUCCCUAACUCAAAAUACAAAUUAAAUAAUAAAAAUAAAGAUAAAAUCAUGGAAUAUAAUAACUUCUAAGUGAAGAACACUUACCCUAUCGAUUUGCUUGAAAACCCACAAGGAAUCGCUCAAAACCGAGCUCUAGAACUCCAAAAUGGUGAUAAUGGCAAAACCCUCGGAAUAGAGUACUAUUUAUUCUGCCCAGGUGUUUGUACAUCGCGAACGCGGAAGAGCAAUUGCGUUCGCGAAGAAAAAAAAAUGAAAGCUGCCCAAUUGUGCUUCGCGAACGCGACAACAUGUUUGCGAACACGGAGAGGAAAAAUCUGAUGGCGCAACGACUGCUCUUCGCAAACGCGUGAAGUAGUACGCGAACGCGAAGAGUGGAAUGGCAUAGCUAUGCGAACGCGUGGGAUGAAUGUGAACGCGAUGAAGGAAAAGAUUGGCUUCCGCGAUCGCGGAGAAUGAGGAAUGCGAACGCAAAGAAAAAAUAUCCCCUCCUCCAAAAUUACUCUUCGUGAACGCGAAGGAAGGGAUGCGAUCGCGAUUAAGGAAACCAGAUGACAAAAAACAGCAGUUCAAAAAUAGAAGGAAAUGACCCGUAGCCCAUCCGAAACACACCCGAGGCCCCCGGGACCCCAUCCAAAUAUACUAACAAGUUCCAUAACCUAACACGGACUCGCUCGAGGUCUCAAAUCACAUCAAAUAAUGGCAAAAAUAUAAAUCACACCACGAAUCAAACUUAUGAACUUCUAAAACUUCCAACUUCUAAAACUCGUGCCGAAACCUAUCAAACCAACCCGGAAUGACGUCAAAUUUUGCAGGCAAGUCCCAAAUAAUAUAACGGAGUUGUUCCAACUCUCUAAAUUGCAUUCCAACCCCGAUAUCAAAAAGUUUACUUCCGGUCGAAAUCUCCAAAAUUUUGACUUUCGCCAUUUCAAUCCUAAGUCAGCUACAGACCUCAAAUUCACAGUCCGGAUGCACUCCUAACUAAAUCACCCAAUUGUGCUAACGGAACCGACAUAACUCCAUUCCGGAAUCGUCUUCACACAGUUUCAACUAUGGCUAAAAUCCUAAGACUUAAGUUUCCGUUUUAGAGACUAACACUACAAAAUAACAGUGUUUAGCGACGGUCACAUUCCGUCGCAAUAUCACUAUUUUCCGUCGCUACAGUUGUUUAGCGACGGAUUAGCGACAUAUUCAAGUUGGUCUUUAAAAAGCUCGUAGCUAGGCUCAUAGCGAAAAAAAAUAUAAAACCGUCGCAGAAUUAGCGACGGAUGAGCGACGAAAUAUAUCUGUAGUAAAAUUUAGCGAUGGAAAUAACCGUCGCUAUAUUGGUUAUUUCUGUCGUUAUUUUGAUGACUUGUGUCACUAUAAUAUAUAACAAAAUUCGUCGUUUGUUCUUAAUAGCGACGAAAUUAUCCGUCGCUAGUCUUGUUAUAGAUAAUUCUCCCUGCUUUUUGCAACAAAAACCUUUUGUCGCCAAUUCGUCGCAAGAUUUAAUUUUACGCGAUAAUUUUAGCUACGGAAAGUAUCCCUCGCUAAUUUAUUUUUAAUAUAUUUCUAAUUUUUAAAAUGCUUUUUAUUUUUUAUUUUAAAUGUACUCUAUUCAAGCAUAUUACAUAAAAGCUAUUAAAUACACUUAAUAAAAAGUCACUGAUAUUAAUAUAAAUUAACAAUACAUUCAGCAAGGUCCAAAAUAUAUAGCAUAAUGCAUAUAACGGUAUCAUUAAGUACAAAAAAUCCACAAGGACCAACAAUAAAGUCCAAACAAAAUAGGCUAACUAUGCGAGGCUGGAGUAUUACGGUCAUCAUCAAAACCCAAUGCAUGUACCUCAUCAAUGUUAGCAGCAGUAGAAGAUGUAGGGACUGUAGGUACCACAUCUAAUGGGUGGUUGGUAAUAUCAGUAUUUGGCUGAUGCGAGGGUAAGGAAACUAAUUCGCGUACCCGCUCAACGAUUUCAGGAACUAUAUGAUCUGUUAGUGCAUGAGUCAAUCGCAUCACUAACUCAUCCAAAUUCUCUGUCAGUGUUGAUUGAGCAUUUGGAGGUGUUGCUGAAGCUUAACUUAGCUAACAAUUUUAUGUAGAUCAACAAGAUAAAGAAAAUAAACUGAUAUCUUAGGAUACAUACAUUUUUUUAUUAAACCUUAUGAUACAUACAAUACCAUAUGCUAGCCUAUUUAUCCAAAAAAAUACAGGCUCCAAUAAUUGUUAUGAAAAAAGUACCCUCCAAUUUCAAGGCUCCUUACCCUAAAAAAAGGGUGCUGCCCAUCUCAUCAAGAUUCACUAAAAUAAAAAUGGAGUUACAAUAUAUAUAACAGCUUUUGUACUUUUAAUAUGAUCCCUUUUUCCAUAUAUGUAAGCAGAUAAAGUGUAAAAAAAUCUGGAUGAACAUAAUGGAAAAAUACUAAAUUUUCUUAAACUUAGUUCAUGUUUUUCAUAAACUGUGUCUCUUAUCUUCCUAAGAUGUCCUGAAAUCUCUAUGUGACAUCAGAUAUACUUUGACAUUGUAUAUUGCUGCUUUGGAUCAAUACAUUAAGUUCAAACGUGCCGUGUUAUUUACAAAUAAGCCACCAAACUCUAAUUAUCAACUAAAAAUAAUAUUUAUAUGUCCAGCGAUGGAAAGAAAGCUAAAGGCUUUUACAUGUUAAUUUUACUACUAAUUAAGAAGAUACUCUGGGUCGAUCAAAUAUAUAAAAACACACCCCAGAACUAACGGUCCGUCUUUGUGAGUUUACCUAAACCCUUCUUCCCCGUUCAACUUCCUUAAUCCAUACGAGCUCAUGAGACUAUUCGCUGGCUUCACCUUGCAAGCUAAGUCAUUUUCCACCAGCCCCAAAAUAUAGUCCCUCCCCACUAACAGUAUCUGGAGAAUAUGUAUUCACCUUUCCUUACUCCAUUUCUAUAGCUCAAACGUCGUCUACCAUAAAGUAGAAGCAGGCACUUGUUAGAUUAAAUAAUGCAUAGUUGCAAAAGUUGUUAAAAGUUGAAAAGCAAAGCCAAAUCAAGAACAAAGGACAGCUUUUAAAACGACUAAUCACUACGAUUGACAAACAAAUUAAGACUGAUGACGAAUAAAAAGGUUCAAAAUUUAAAACAGGAAAAGGCCAAAUUAUCUAAGGUAAAAACAGAAAAAUGGCCGGAACAAGGAAUUGGAAAUCAACAAGUAAAACAGAGCAUCUCCCAGAAAUCUUUACAACUCGUGGUCUUAAAAGUUCUAAAAUAGAAUUGGAAAUAGAGUUUAUAAAUAUUAAAAGUUCUUUUUUCCAACAGAAAAACUAGAAAUAGCGAGAAAAACAGGACCAAAUCAUCUUAAUUGAAAGCUUCUUGUUGUGGCUUUCUCCAGCACCACUUGAACUAAUUUCAAAGAUAACCUUAUUCAAAGUUCUACUACAGAAAAUUGAACCUCUCAUUACAGAUGCACUUCUCCAUCAUAUCAUUUAUUCUCUUUACAUUCUGUUUUUUCUGACUUCAGUUUUAGAAAAGUUGAACAAUGAUUCUCGCCCAGAUCUACAAGACAGGAAUGAAAUCACAAAGAAGCUUACCCUUUCGCCUGAGAAUCUUGCGGAGCAGCAACAUACGACUUCGAAUUUCAGAGUUAUGCAACAAAAAUCUUGCAAUUUCGAAAGUUUUCUUCUAUUUUUCGGACAUUAACCCUAGAUAAGUGAAGGAGGGAGUCUGAUAGAGAGGAGAGAAAGUGGGUGUGUUGCCCUAAUUGUUGGAAUAUCUUUUAACUAAGGUAAUUUUAUCUUUAUGACGAAGAUUUU
rnacentral:lncRNA from 1 species